GCUGACGAGUGGCGGACGGGUGAGUAAUGUCUGGGAAACUGCCUGAUGGAGGGGGAUAACUACUGGAAACGGUGGCUAAUACCGCAUAACGUCGCAAGACCAAAGAGGGGGACCUUCGGGCCUCUUGCCAUCAGAUGUGCCCAGAUGGGAUUAGCUUGUUGGUGAGGUAACGGCUCACCAAGGCGACGAUCCCUAGCUGGUCUGAGAGGAUGACCAGCCACACUGGAACUGAGACACGGUCCAGACUCCUACGGGAGGCAGCAGUGGGGAAUAUUGCACAAUGGGCGCAAGCCUGAUGCAGCCAUGCCGCGUGUAUGAAGAAGGCCUUCGGGUUGUAAAGUACUUUCAGCGGGGAGGAAGGUGUUGUGGUUAAUAACCGCAGCAAUUGACGUUACCCGCAGAAGAAGCACCGGCUAACUCCGUGCCAGCAGCCGCGGUAAUACGGAGGGUGCAAGCGUUAAUCGGAAUUACUGGGCGUAAAGCGCACGCAGGCGGUCUGUCAAGUCGGAUGUGAAAUCCCCGGGCUCAACCUGGGAACUGCAUUCGAAACUGGCAGGCUUGAGUCUUGUAGAGGGGGGUAGAAUUCCAGGUGUAGCGGUGAAAUGCGUAGAGAUCUGGAGGAAUACCGGUGGCGAAGGCGGCCCCCUGGACAAAGACUGACGCUCAGGUGCGAAAGCGUGGGGAGCAAACAGGAUUAGAUACCCUGGUAGUCCACGCCGUAAACGAUGUCUACUUGGAGGUUGUGCCCUUGAGGCGUGGCUUCCGGAGCUAACGCGUUAAGUAGACCGCCUGGGGAGUACGGCCGCAAGGUUAAAACUCAAAUGAAUUGACGGGGGCCCGCACAAGCGGUGGAGCAUGUGGUUUAAUUCGAUGCAACGCGAAGAACCUUACCUGGUCUUGACAUCCACGGAAGUUUUCAGAGAUGGAUUGGUGCCUUCGGGAACCGUGAGACAGGUGCUGCAUGGCUGUCGUCAGCUCGUGUUGUGAAAUGUUGGGUUAAGUCCCGCAACGAGCGCAACCCUUAUCCUUUGUUGCCAGCGGUCCGGCCGGGAACUCAAAGGAGACUGCCAGUGAUAAACUGGAGGAAGGUGGGGAUGACGUCAAGUCAUCAUGGCCCUUACGACCAGGGCUACACACGUGCUACAAUGGCGCAUACAAAGAGAAGCGACCUCGCGAGAGCAAGCGGACCUCAUAAAGUGCGUCGUAGUCCGGAUUGGAGUCUGCAACUCGACUCCAUGAAGUCGGAAUCGCUAGUAAUCGUGGAUCAGAAUGCCACGGUGAAUACGUUCCCGGGCCUUGUACACACCGCCCGUCACACCAUGGGAGUGGGUUGCAAAAGAAGUAGGUAGCUUAACCUUCGGGAGGGCGCUUACCACUUUGUGAUUCAUGACUGGGGUGAAGUCGUAACAAGGUAACCGUAGGGGAACCUGCGGUUGGAUCACCUCCUUACCUUAAAGAA
rnacentral:rRNA from 1 species